rnacentral:sRNA from 1 species
AAUUUUUUUCAGUUUUAGAGGAUUCCAUUUUGUGAAUGUACCAUGUUUUGUUCAAGUAGUCCUAUAUUGAUGAAUAGUCUGGUUAUUGUCAAUUUUGCUAUUACAAAAAAAGUACUACAGUUAACAAUGUGCAUUCAUCAUCUUGUUUUUGGCAAGGGUAUAUUUGGUAAAGAUUACUAGAAGUACGAUUGCUGCUCGGAAGGUAAAACAUAUAUCAUUUUGCUAGGUAGUCUAUAAAAUUAUUAAGUCUAAUAUUAAUUUACUUUGUUUCUCCCAUCAGAAAGAAGCCAACAAAACGUAUAAUUGUGAAAAUUUAGGUCUCAGUGAAAUCCCUGACACUCUACCAAACACAACAGAAUUUUUGGAAUUCAGCUUUAAUUUUUUGCCUACAAUUCACAAUAGAACCUUCAGCAGACUCAUGAAUCUUACCUUUUUGGAUUUAACUAGGUGCCAGAUUAACUGGAUACACGAAGACACUUUUCAAAGCCAUCAUCAAUUGAGCACACUUGUG